UGCUAGCCGCCGCGGUAAUACGGAGGGGGGUAGGGUUGUUCGGAAUUACUGGGCGUAAAGCGCACGUAGGCGGAUUAGUAAGUUAGGGGUGAAAUCCCGGGGCUUAACCCCGGAACUGCCCUCAAAACUGUCGAUCUAGAGACCGGGAGAGGUAAGCGGAAUACCGAGUGUAGAGGUGAAAUUCGUAGAUAUUCGGUGGAACACCAGUGGCGAAGGCGGCUAACUGGACUGAUACUGACGCUGAGGUGCGAAAGUGUGGGGAGCAAACAGGAUUAGAUA
rnacentral:rRNA from 1 species